GUACCAAAUAUAUGCAUUUGUUUUAGGGGGCUAUACGAGCAUUUGGGCCUAUCUAUUCAUGUUCGUGUUCAAAUUAUUUUCCGAAGUUCUAUUGUGGUUUUUCGAUAAAGGAUUAUGUAAUUGGUGUGAACACAUCAUACCAAGAUCAUUGUUCAUUGCAUAUCAACAACAAUUGAAAUGCUCACAUGCUGCUUCCAAUAUGGGUGUGGUGCAAGCCUAGGAGGCCAACUACUUGUGCUUUCUCGAAAGCUUCAAUUCGAUCCAAGGCCAUGGAAGAAACCCUUAACCUUGCAUUGGAGGGACCUUCGAAUAUGCUCUGCCGAAAUUACGAUGUGAAAAAACUCUUUAUGCUGUUUUUCAAGAGCAUGAAUUCUUUAGGUUGAUUUUUUUGGUUGGGGGGUCUUGUAGCAAGAAGCUGAGUUUUCAUUGUUCAUUGCAUAUCGACAAUGGCGGAUGUUUGAUGUUUGUAAGACUUUAGAGAUAGCUCUGAUAGUUUUGAUUUCAAGGAAAUUCUUAGGUGUUUUGAUUUUGAGCACCUGUAAAUUCUGUAAUAAUAAAUGUCGAUGAUGGUUUGGAAAGAAUCUGUCCCGGAUUGCAAGAGAAAUGGCUUUCGAUUUUGUACACACUUGCUGAUUGCUGGAUAUUGAUUAUAUGUUGCCAUCGGUCCAUCUUGUAAAUCUAUGGAAUUAUGUUUUGUUCCAUUUCUUG